CUAACCCCCCCCACCCCACCCCUGUGCCCUUGCUGUAUGUAUGUAUGUGUGUGUGUGUGUUUAUUUUCAUCUUUCCAGUCUGUUUAGAUUAGGGCUGCACAAUAUAUUGAAAAGUUAUCGUCAUUGCGAUAACAGGACGUGUGAUAGGCCCAUCGCCAAGCACAUGAAAAAUGGCGAUAAAUGUUUGGUUCAAACAUUUCCUUCCGUGUCAUACAUAAACUUUUUGUAAACCAGCUCUGUUUUUUACGCGGAAGUAUUAUUUGACCAAUCAAAUGUAGCCCUUCUGAUAUGCAGCCAGUCAGAUGGGUCCAUUCACGUAAUACGCCCGCCCCCUACGUAGACCCUUAGGAUGGGUGGAACGCGACACCCGAACUGAGUUAGCGGCGCUGCUCCCUUGUUCGUCAUGCUGGCUCAGAGCAACGAACGCACUUUGUGCUGAGGUUUCUGGAAUCAGCGCUGCUUUCAAACGUGAACCUGAGUCCGCUCGGUGUCGUUAAGCAGCUGAUAAUAACCGGGCUGACUCCGACACGUGCCGGUGAACCAACCCACCUCUAUGUCGCUACGUCGCUAGUGUUAGCUUCCAGCUAAAAGGCUACAGCACUCUCCUCCCAGUCCCACCCUGCUAAAGAGGGCCUGGAAAAGUUCCCCCACACAUCAAAGUGAUUUUUCCUUUAUGAGCAUUUAUAACCUUGUUAAUCAGGAUAGUUGAUUUGCUGCUGCACAUAAACUGCCAGUCAGAAGCUCUGCUAGCCGGUUAUCUUAGAGGAGCUAGUUCAAUUUGUUAGCUUGUUACCAGAAUCAUAGUUGCAGUUUCAUCAUCUGAGCAGCUUUUUAAGAUCUAGGUAAACUUGUUCAGUUUGGAGUUAAAAACAAACAUUUUCACAUAUUUUCCAUGUAGUUUUUUUGCCAGUUCCUCUUCUGAAAGGUAGACAAUUGUUUUUCUCUUUCCCUCAGAAAAUCUUAAAGCAGACAUAACAUGAAAAACCCACUUUUUUAUCCAUUAACACAGCGUGUUUCACAUUUUAAGUGUCUAAGUGAGCAAAAAGGCUUAUAUUAUUCACUGGAGUUGCUAUUUAGAUAUUUAAUAAUUAAGUUUUGGGCAUAUUUGUCCACCCGUUCAGUUUUUCAAAUUAUCUAUUACAUCAGUAAUUUAUUUCGUCAGGAUAACUUCCAAAUAUGGUAAUGGCCCUCGGCUAAACACAGAGCCAAUCCGCCAUUUUUUCUUCUCGCUAAGAUUUUUUUGUAGUCCUAUUGGAAAAAUGCAGAAUGUCUGGUUAUUUUAGCCACACACAGCUCAAAACUGUUCCUCGUUUUAAGGAAGGGUGGUGUGGCAGUAUUUAAACCCAGGAGCUGAUGACACUACUGCUAUAAAAACACAGAAGAAAAAGUAGUGUUUGUUUGUGUGUGUGUGUGUGUGUGCGCGCGCGCGUGGUUCGUUCGUUCGUGUCUCCAGGCUAGUGGCUAAGUACUGAGGGCUUCAUCUAUCUAAAAGGAGUCAUUUCCAUCUGAAUGUGGCAGCGACGGGACACAGCAGCAGAGCGGUAAGCUUCAUAUCACUCUAAAAUGUCGACAAACUUUACUUUAGAUUUACGGGCAUUAGCAGCACUAAAGCGUUAGCAUCCGGCUUGCUAUCACUAACACAGUAUGCUAGUAAAGUUAGCACCCAGAUUAAUGUGGAUUUGGCUGAUUUUCAUGGAAUAAAACGUGAUUUCUGAUCAACGCCUUCUUUUACACCAGAUGAUAACCUCCCACUGAUUGUAGCAGCAGAGAGCCUGUGUGUUAUUCUACGUGAGUGUGAUGUAAUCUUAGCAUCCAGUAAAUAAAGUCCCAUAUCAGCUAAAAUGCAGCGUGACAAAGUCAUUAAAGUGCGUCAACACAGUGGAUUUAAUAGUUUUAAAGAACGAUCUCUGAGUGGAGUGAGGUUAGUUUUUUGUCUCACUGCAGAUAUAAAAACUAACUCUGCAUCAGUCAGACGCAGCAAAGCUCACCGUCUGUAUGAGCGUGAGCGUCGGAAAGCUGAUAAAAUCAGCUGAAAAAUAAUUAAAACAAAAGUAAAAAUGUUCCUUUGCUUUUUAGAGUCCACAUCCAGAAGGCUGGAGCCGUGUUUCACUGACAGGCUGUCAGACUAAAGCCCUGAUGAGCUCAGCUGGGAUAAACUGGUCUGAUGUUUAGGAACACAGAACGUUCAGAUGUUGGAGCUUCAUGUCACCUACUGAGGAAGGAGACCCACCAGUAAAGAGAUGGUAGCUGGACCAGACCAAAAAUAUGGCGAUGACAUCAUGGAACUGGUCUCUGGAAAAGUUUUCCCUGAACCAACUCCGUUUCUAGAUGAGGUAGAGAAGAUCUGCAUCUCACCAACCCUCUGGUCUCAGUAUUCAGACAACGGAGGUCUCCCACUGUUAUCCAGGACCAGUUUGAAGCCCACAUACUGCCCCUCCCUCAUCAUCAGGAAACAUCAAUCCGUAUCCUGAGGACAACAGAAGACGGCAGGAGGACAGGAACUCUGAGACCUAGAUACCACCAGCACCGGGACACAAAGCACCUGUGUGCACAACGCCUGUUUAACUACUAAAGCCUGUUUAUUAUAUUGUUCUACUUAUUUGCUGUGAGGUUAAUACUUAGAAAAUUUGUAUUUUAAUGUAAACAAUAAAAAAAUCACUGAUUGUAUGUUUUCUUUUAGAUGUAAUGGUCCAAACUCAGCCUUGUAGACAUUUAUUGCAUCCUGUAGGUAAAUACACAGAACAGGCUCAGGUCCAGGAUGACCCAGCAUGCUCUUCUUCCAUUCUGGCUGUUAGGGAUUGUAUCAAUAACUCAAUGCCUACUGACGUUUCCACCUAACGGUAUUUAUUUAGAAUGCAGGUAAGAUUUAACUAUAUUUGUUAGCAAAGCAGACUGAUCUUGGGAAUUUCACUGCAGCACUGAUGUCCACCUCUGUGUACACAUUAGAGAGAAUUACCACUUUACAGCUAAACACAUAUUUAAUAAAGAUAUAGGCUACGCAUGGCAGACAAUAAAAACAAAGUUGUAAGCAUUAGAAUUAUAAUGAUCAAAUUAAAGAACAUUUGGAGGAAUGUUCUUUAUUUUUGACUAGAAUCUCAAAUCUUUAAAUUAAAAUGUAACUGCUUUUUAUCCAUUUUCAGCCAUUAAGACACCCAAUAUAAAAUAAGACUACUUAUAAAAUUAUAAUUAUAUGUAUGUAUAUAUAUAUAGAUAGAGAUCUUAAUAAAAUAUAUUUUGAAUGGUGUUUUAAUGAGCUGUAUCAUUUUUUAAAACAUUUUUUUAUAGAAAUAAAUAAGCAAGCAGCAUUCCUUGUGUGUGUGUGUGUGUGUGCGCGCGCGCGCGCGCCUGCUCACUUGUCCUUCCGUCGGCCGUGACGGGUGUGUGAGUGACUACAGACAAAUGCAUGAGAAAGUUAGCAGCCUUGAAACAGCUUGAUGAACUACUCUCCCCACAGGUUUUAAAAAUGCUAAUAUGCUAUGCUAAAUAAUGAUUUCUCUAUAGAACUACAAAGUCCGGCUGGGGAAGGAGAGUACAGGUUUGCACUAUGGAGGGGGGCGGAGUUUACAGCUCCUCCUCCAGUUUAAAGAGACAGUACCCCAAAACGGCUCGUUCUCAAGACUCUCCUCAGAACAGGGGUAGAUGAGGGUCUGUAGAGCAACAAUAAUGAGGAAAUCAGACCAAAGAACUGCAGUUCCACUGUAUUUAGACCCCAACUGAAGGAUUUAGAUGUAAAAAGGAAUAACUUAAAAGCAUGUUAUGUCUCCUUUAAAUUCGAACGGCUGUUGCUCACUCCCCCGCCCUUCAUGAAAGAGCCGAAAGCCACACCUCCCAAUGUGCACGCGCAGGAAAAGCAGAGUCAACAUCGGAGCAUUGCUUCUUGUAAAAGAGCUGAGCUAGUGUUAGCAAUGGAGUUAUCUGAGGUAAGAAAGUUGUAUUUAACCAGCACAUUAAACACUUACUGUUAACAAAAGGCAUUUUAUAAAGAAUAUCUAUAAAUAUAUUUAUAUUUUAAAAUACCAGUAACAGUUGGCAAUCUAUAUUGUAAAUAAAAUUAAUCCUAUCAAAUUGUUAGCAUUUUAUUACAAGUAACUAGCUUAUUUUUAAUUGCUUUGCCAUUCAAGAUGGGAUGAAUAUAUCAAAGCAUAUAAUUUAUGUGGAAAUCAUGAAUAAACACUGCAUUCUGUGUAGUCCUCCUAUAAUCAUGGUUGUUUUCAUAGGGUUUCUGUUUAUUGUUGGUUUAGCCCAAAUUUGGACUAGAUGUAAACCUGAUCUGUGUCAAAAUUGAUUAAUAUGUAAGAGUGCUUUUUAUGUUAGUAUAUAUACAUUUUUUAUUCUAAUACAAUUUAGAUUUCAGUGAUUGCGGAAUCCUCUGAGGAAGUUUCAACCUCCCAUUGCAUCCUCAAGACGUGGUGCAAAAAGGAGAUGCCCACCAUCAUCUCAAAGCCGUGGUGCAUUCCGAGGCCGUGGUGCGUCUAGAGGCCGAAGAAGUGCGAGACACUCAGCUGUGGACCUUGGAGAUGAAGAUACCACUCGAGUUCGGAAUCUUCGUUCUGAGCGAAUAGACUUUGAACGUGUAUGCAUAACAAAAUUACACUAAAUUAUCCUAAAUACUGUUGCUGUAGCAUCUCUUUCCACUUUUGUAGCAACACAUACAGAACCUGAACCCUCAGCAGGCUUUUGACUUCCUUACCAUGGUGCUGGACAGAAACCCUGGUGUUCGCUUUGAUGUACUUGCCCUCUCUGGUCCACCUGCCACAACACCUCCAACCACCCUUCAAGGUGUGUAUGCUCCCACUGCAGAGAGAUGCCAACUGAUUUGGAAAGGAAAUGCGGCCAACAACCUCCCCAGACAUGUAUUUCAACUGUACCACACAUGGAGGAGUUUAUUCUGCAAAAUGGUGUUCUUCGCCUGGCCAGAACAUUGUGGAAUGAGUUUCGAGCAGUUUAUGAUGACCCAAACCCUGGUGAGGACAACAGACAGUUCUGCCAUGCAGCUUACAGACAAUUUGUAGCAUGGCAGCAUGGAAAAUUUGGUGGAGGGCGCAGAGUAGUAAUCCCAAGCUGUGGUCUGGAGGAUAAGGGAAAAAUUCCCUGACCCCUGGUAUUACUGGUUUUCUUCCAAGACUAUUGUAAAUAAUUGUAUAUAUUUAAUAUUUUACAUCAGUUUGUUUUUUUAUGUAUUUUUGUUUGGUGCUCUAAUAAAGUGUUCUAAAGCAUAACUCUGUGUUGCAUUUGUAAAAAUACCAUACAUGUUAAAACUCCUGCACAACAACAAAAACUUAUGUCUACCUCCAGCAUUUUACGUACAUUUUUAAAUUAUUAGUCCUUAUUUCCCCAAAAAAUAUCUUUAUUUUCAAACAAACAAAAAAAAAAAACAGGAAACACAAAAAUAAAAAAGGUUUUGGGUUUUCUCUCGCCUCCCCCAACACCUAUGUCUGUGGCAAAGUUUUACCUGUAAAUAAAAAAUAAACUCAAUUAGCAAUGGGCUAUUGUGUGGAAGAUGUAAGGCAGAUAAUGUUUUAUUUUACCAUCACCGCAAGUCCGUAGGUGUUGUAGAAGUUCCUCUGUUGAUGGUGCAGGGACUCCGGACAGCAAACCAUAACGCCUUGGAUCCUCAGGCCUUAGCUUGUAGCGUCGAGGAAGACCUUUCUUGCUUGUCAAACAUUGGUUGACGAUCAUGGUUUGGAUCUCUGGGAUGUAGGAGAAGUCUUUUGCCACCUUCUCAGAUUACAGUCUCCAGCAUCUUGAUUUUUUGUUGAAUAUUUUAUGGUAACUGAAAUGACACGUGCCAUAACUUGUAGUAUCCAACAAAUUAGCUGAAAAAGUGUUUUAAAUUAAACAAAAGGAAUUACCUUAUGUGUAUAUAAGGUGUGUAGUCCUCAUCACCGCUGUCAUCAGUACCGCUGUCCAUCUAGAUGGUUUCGUCCUCCUCUGAAGACGAAUCAACUUCUGGUUCUCUGUUUGGUGACCAUGUGUCAUCUGAUGACUUUAUCCUGAAUAUACAAAAUUUAAAAUUUUUAGUAUGGAAAAUUAGACACAUUUUAUUAACAUCUGAAUAAUUACACAGAGUUUUGAAUAUUGUUGUACUCUUCCUUGUCAAUGUUUUCUUCAAUUCCCACACAAGUUAAGCUAAAAAAGUUAUUAUUGUUUACUUUUCCUGACAAAUGUGACAGCCAAAUACAGAAACAACCUUGUACUUACAUUUGUGAAGAUCCUUCAUUUUUAGUUUCACCUUGUUCCAUCACCUCCUCCAAAUUAUGAUCCCUAUGAAAAUAAAAUACAAGCACAAGAAUAUGAUUAGAAUCAAUACAUUAUUUGUCAUUUUGAAGGUAAUAGACCUCGUCUAUUGGCCGUCAUCAUCACCCUCUCCUUAUUUUUCUCACUCUACUUAUUAUCCACUGAAUUCCUUCUUUACUAAUAAUUUCCUGUCUCUUUCUUUACAUUUUAAUAACAUAAUUGUGUUAUUUUUUCUCAUAAACUUUGUUUAAAAUAAAAAUAUAAAUUUUUAUUUUAAUAUUUUUAAUUGUGUUGUUGUGAAGCGCCUCAAGAGUUUUAUCUUGAUAGGCGCUAUAUAAAAUAUAGUUUUACUUAUUUAUUUAUUUAUUUAUUUCUAUACAUUUUUUAUAGUCAUUCGUCAUCCCAUUUACAGAAUUUCUUCAAAAUAUUCCACCACUAACUUAAAACAAACAGAGGCAAAAUUAUAAUAUUCCUGGUAGAGGUUUUUAGGCAGCUAUUUACCUUUCAGAUGAAAAAUAAUUGACUGUAGCAUGAAGAGCAUCCAAAUCACAUUAUAUUUUACAUUUUCCUGCUAAGACAAAUCUAAUUGUAAUUGAUAAAUGUAGAGUUAAAUCUGCAUACUGGAAUCACCUCUGUUGCUAUUAAGUGGAGAUUCCGAAAAUGACCAGUCAGAUUAACCUAUGAAGCUUAGAUCAUAUGUAUAAAUAUCCCGGAUACUUAUAUAUCGAUCUAAGUUCAUACAUCAACCUGUUUGAUCUAAUUUUAAUCCAAAGAUUAAUGUUUAAUUUAGAUAAUUAAAUUUAAUAGCAAAAGUUAUUUUUUGAAUCAGAAGCUAGGAUCUUUGCUUUCAAAUAACCAGAACUAUUAUACCUUUUCUGUGUUUCGUUUCAAUAAUGAGGCAAGUUUAAAAAUGAAGAAAUUUAUUACUAACAAAUUUUAAACUGAAAGAUUUGAAACGACAAUUAUAAAAUGACAAUUCAUGGAUGGCAAUUUUAAUGAAAAAUUUCAACAGUUUUGAUAUUAAACUUGUUUUAAAAGCAAACCUGUGACUGAAUGGAGCCAAAAUGAGAAUGGUGAGUUUUGGAUGCGUGAAUGAAGUUCUCAGAAGGUUUCUUUUUUUUUUUUUUUUUUAUUACCGUGUCCUGUCUGGCUGUGAAGCAAGCAGAAUUGAUGUCUGAAUGCUGGUGACGAGCCUUACAGAUUUAUUCUCAGGUGGAGCAUCAAAGCGUUUGCUUUUAACGUCACACCUGAUACUUAAAACUUUAUUGUUAUUGUUGUUGAAUGCUUUGUAAUUCCGACCAGACACGGAGACAGAGGUGAAAGAGAAAGGAAAAGAAAAGGUGGGGAGAGAGAGAGAGAGAGAGGGGG